AAGCCAUUCCGAAGUGGCAGAGAAGCUGCUUUUUCCUCCUGCAUGCUGCCUGCUAGUGUGGAUCUUGGCAUAACAGACACUACUUGGCAAAAGAUCCAUCCUUCCUUUUCCUAUACUUUGCUCAGCGGCCUGGAAGAUUGACCUCAAAAGCAAAAUCACCUGGAUUUCCUUGCCAUUUGGCUUUCAAAUGUGCUCAGCCAAUGACAGGCUGGAAAGAAAUUGACAGCUGGGAAAAGAGGAAGAUUUGUGUACAAGAUCCCUUCCACUCCCAUCUCAUUACCUGCCAUGGUCCUAGCAGUGGCUGUUCUUAUUAUGGCCACAACUACUCUUGGACAGGCCAACAUCCACAACUCCAUCCUUCAACUAGGCUUCAUUAACACUGUCCCUCACCCUUAUCUCUUUCUGGGUAGGGGUGAUAAAGGUUUCCUGACAUCAGAGUUCCUGAGUGCCUCAUAUAUUCUUGUUGGUCCCUGAACCUUGCCCCAACAUCAAUAAAAAGUUCCUUCAUUAAAUAAUUUUCA
rnacentral:lncRNA from 1 species